rnacentral:lncRNA from 1 species
CAUGAAAAUUAUGAUGUCACCAGAAGUAGUACUGUACAUGAGCACCGUCACUGCCACACAGUGCUCCUCUCACUGACCACCAAUGAAAGAGGUGCCCCUUCCAGAAGUGUGGUGGGGGCUGGAUACAUGGCCUCAGGGGGCCACAUGUGGCCCACGGGCUGUAGUUUAGGUACCCCUGCUGUAGAGCAUACUCAUACAUUAGCUGGUUGUGAUCUCUUUACCCUGUGGUGAAGAGGACACUUUGAUUGUUCAUGGAUCUAGGACUGGGUGCAUUCAGAAGAACUCCAUGGAUUAUGUACUCAUACAGUAGGUGUCUUUUAGUUUUAUUGGAGGAAAAGUUUCAAGAGGAGCAAAAAUCUCUCCAUGUAUUUGCUAAUAUGUUUGGAGCUUUUCCUCUGACUGAAUGAGAAAGAUUUUCCAGUAAAAUACUAGUA